rnacentral:rRNA from 1 species
AUGAUAGUUGAGUAUGUGGACUUGCUGAAAAGCUCUUAUAUUGACUCUUUCCGAUGUUAUGAUAAAUUAUUAUUACUUGAGCAUAAGAAAUCAUAUGACAAUAUAUAUACAUAUAUAUAUAUACUGAUGUUAUAA